rnacentral:misc_RNA from 1 species
UCGUAACAAGGUUUCCGUAGGUGAACCUGCGGAAGGAUCAUUACCGAGUGCGGGCCCUCGUGGCCCAACCUCCCACCCUUGUCUCUCUACACCUGUUGCUUUGGCGGGCCCACCGGGGCGACCUGGUCGCCGGGGGACGAACGUCCCCGGGCCCGCGCCCGCCGAAGCGCUCUGUGAACCCUGAUGAAGAUGGGCUGUCUGAGUACGAUGAAAAUUGUCAAAACUUUCAACAAUGGAUCUCUUGGUUCCGGCAUCGAUGAAGAACGCAGCGAAAUGCGAUAAGUAAUGUGAAUUGCAGAAUUCCGUGAAUCAUCGAAUCUUUGAACGCACAUUGCGCCCCCUGGCAUUCCGGGGGGCAUGCCUGUCCGAGCGUCAUUUCUGCCCUCAAGCACGGCUUGUGUGUUGGGUGUGGUCCCCCCGGGGACCUGCCCGAAAGGCAGCGGCGACGUCCGUCUGGUCCUCGAGCGUAUGGGGCUUUGUCACUCGCUCGGGAAGGACCUGCGGGGGUUGGUCACCACCACAUUUUUUUUACCACGGUUGACCUCGGAUCAGGUAGGAGUUACCCGCUGAACUUAAGCAUAUCAAUAA